GAGGCCGAGGUGGCUGGAAUUUGGGGGCAGAGCUUUGAAAAGGAGCUGUUACCCCGAGCAAGAGCGUCACACGUGCCUUGUGCGUGGGUGACCCCACCUCUGGCUGGGGUGAAGUAGCUCAUGAAAGGAAUGGAGCUGAAGAAGCCGGUAAAGGACCCCAAGAUGCGAGCGCAAGAUCCUCAAACGUACAGAAACGGCGGUAAUAUUCUGCAGGAGCGCCUUAUCCUGUGUGCGCUCUGAACUUGUGCUCUCCAACCUCAAGUUCCUCAAUCCUGUGUGACAUAAUCCAUUUACAACCCUCCCUGCCCAAGAGGAGAGAAAUACAGGCACGAAAUGGAUCCUGGCCGUGGUUAACGACUCUGUGUGGGGGGCCUGCGGUGGAGGAAAUUUCCAUGAAACAUUUGGCCCCUCGUCCUCAUGCUUCUGGAACAUCACUAAAUGCAGAGUCAUUGAGCACCUGAGCCGCGCCGUUCCACCAGGAGCAGUAAAAGAGAGCAUUUCACAGACGGGCCGGGAACGUUUUCUUUCAGCUCUCAGAGGUCUACUCUGAAAGCUGACAUUCAGUGAGAAAUUUGGAACAAGCAGCAGAGAGGGCGAAUGCACCAGGGAACGCGAAGUCCAGCCCAGUCUGCUACGCGCCGGGCAGCAGGAUGGUGGAGUAGCCAUUCCAGAUCUGGCGGUAAGAAAUCUCUUAAUUGCCGAAACAUGACUGCCUUGUACAAGAGGACUUUUGACAGACACUUAAACCAACCCAAACCUAUUGUUACAAAGGAAAGAAUGUGGGCUAAGAUCAACAGACAGAUUUCUAAAUCUAGAGUUUUUUC